rnacentral:lncRNA from 1 species
AAAAAGUCAGCGAAUAUUUACUUAGAUAUAUUGGAUCAUAGUCCAGUAUAUUCCUUUAUGCCUUGAGCUAUUUUUUCAAAAUCCAGACUGCACAGUUGUAUCUUAGGCUCGAGUACAGUCCUGAAAAGCAGCCUGUACGUUGCUGAUAGGUUCUGAUGCGUAUUGUGUAUCUUCCCUGAAAUGAACCCCUAUCUCCCGUUUGCAGAGCUUAUGCAGGGGCUGAGAAAUACAGUUUGCUUCCACACUGACUGCUCUACCUCUCAGAAAACAUUUGGAGGGAGGAGUAUACGUUGCUCACAGGAGCUGUGCUCUCCAGGGUGGGCUGUACCAGCACGCUGCCUGCUUCUCACCUCCCCCACACAGAAGUCAGUUGGAAAAUUUGGGAUUCUGGUGUUCAUGCAGAGUUACGCAAGUCACAGUCAAGCUGUUUAAAUCUCCGUAUGCAGCCCCAGAGGAACAUGACAGUGUUUGGUGCUGAUAAGAUAUGAGUCUGCACUUCUGAGUGCUUGCUCACGAGCAUUCCUACCGUGUCAGAGCAAGUUCUUGCUGAAGAAAAUGCGAAUACCUUACACUCUAUGACAAUGUUGCAAAUCAGAAAUAGUUGCAGUUACCUCACGCUAGUUCCCUCUGAGGCAGAACAAAUCCUAAGGUUCCAGCUGAAUGCUUAUGAAUCACUACCUUGGGGAAAAAAAAAUGAUACCACCUGUCAAAUUUCAUCUAAACUCUCAGAAAAUGGGGAAAAUGUGCUGAAUGAGGCAGUUAGUGAUGGUGUUGUACAGGGAUUAUUACUACAUGACACUGUGAGUUAUGAUAUACUUACUGCGCGUUCCUUUCUAGCAGAGAAACAGAGCAGAAACUGCACAGCUGAUGGAGUGUGAGGAGAAGAAAUCUGAACAUCAUUGUCUAAAUCUUUAUAUAAGGCUUCUAGACCUAACUGUCAAAGUUCAUUCAGCUGAGCUAAAAUACAAAACAAGGUACUUAGUGGCUUUGAAAUAAAACUAGAGAUUAUCGCAAGUGCUGCAGUUGUUCAAAUUCAGCUCCUGCCAAGUUUUCACACCACCGAUGCUUCUAAGAACAGAGAAACCUACCUUAGAAGCUUCUUCCCAAUUUGUAUCUUGCUAUUUUCAGUAUUAAAUUUAGAACAGUGUCUAAAUGAAACAUCUCAUCUUGUUUGUGGUGGCAUUCUUUUAAUGACAUUGUACCUCAUACACUUGACAUAAAGACUCAUACUGAGUGCUGCAGCUCCGUGGCAAGCAAAGCACCAUCCUGUAAAUGAAAGGAUCGCAUUCUCUUUGCAGGUUUUGUUCCUUCUGGCAAGCUAGAAGAUGUAAAAUAUGAACUGGAGAAAAAGGAGAGGAAGGAAGCAUCACACAUCAUCUAGCUAACGUAUUUUAAACACACUGUUCUUUUGGAAUGGUUUUGGUAGAGUCAUGAAUAACAAAACUGUGCCAUCAUCAGUUUCCAGGAAAUCCUCUUUCCAAUAGUUCUCAAGACAUCAGCCUUUUUGUGCUGCUCAAACAGCUUCUCUCCUGAACAAAUCACAAGGAUUUUAUUUUAAUCCAUGCAUAUUGUUUUAAGUGUAUAACUGAUGGGUUAUUAAAACAGGCAAUAGACCAUUAGCUGUGUGAAAAUUAGCGUGGAUUAAACCAAGCUUGUUCAGGUUCCGUCAGGGGUUCAAACAGCAAUGCAAGACACGUGGCCAAAUGCGCUAACUAACUGCUAGAGCCAAGAUGUAUUUGAUUUAUUGGCUUGAUAACCAUAGCUGACUUUGAGAUUGUCUAGGUCCUCUGAGUUUGAAGGGGUUCAAGUGAGGAGACUCUGUUUGAGUCUGUUUGUAUUUUAAAGGCAGAACGUGGCACUGAGGGUCAUGGUUAGCGGGCAUGGUGUUGGUGUGUUGAUGGUUGGACCAGAUGAUCUUAGUGGUGCUUUCUAACCUUAAUGAUUUAAUGAUUGUAUAGCUGAGCAAGUAUUAUAGGAUGCAUAUAUUAAAAAUGAAACUUCAACCAACGGGAAAAGAUAGCGUUUAGGUAGAUAAUGCCCGGGGAAAUCCCUGUAGUGAAAGCAUAGAAUUUAACCAUUGAUAAACCACCAGAGUACAAUUAGUUAACUGAAAAUCCGUCUGGAAAACAAAUCAGAAGUGCUAAGAAAAACUGUCUUGCUGCCUGCUGAAUUUAAUCAUCUUGCUUAUAGAAACUGUUACAGCAUUCGGUGUUAUAGGACUCCAUUUUUAAUGUACUUACAAUAUGUAAGAUACACUUAGGUAACUACAGCAUGUGUUUGUUCUACAGUUUUACUGGUGCAAGGCAAACAACUGUUGUUAAAGUGAGACUUUCGUGUUAUCAGAUAAAAGCAUGAAACGAGCUUCUAGGAAAAUGGGUUCCAGGUAGGAAAGGUGCCUCUGACUAUCACGCCAAAGCAGGCAUGCUAGUGAUAAAGAAAUAAGCUCCCACCUGGGAGAAAAGUUGCUGCUCCUCCUUCAGAGCAGUAAAGUACAAAAGGGACUCAGAAGAGCUAUGAGGAAAAAGAAAACAACUAUUUGUUAAGAGAAGCAUGUUAAUUUGGAAAGCAGAAUUAUUCAUAAAACAACCGGUACCUCAUAACACUAAUAACACAACUAGCACAUACAUAUACAUGAAUACUAGUAUAUAUACAACUUGUAUAUUCAUAAAACAACUAUGCUUGUACAAUUAGGGAAAAGCUGCCCAUCAAGAAAGGUAACUGCCUGUUAAUGAAUUGAGGCAGCUACUAUGUCACUACCAAUAAAUUCCAUUUUUUUUCUAGCAAUUUUGGUGUGGGCAUCAAAUUAACUUUUCUACAGAGGAGAAGCUCUUAUACAAAAGCCAUCUGACAGCAGGUUGGGGCAGUUCUAAUAAAAAAAAAUGCAAUGAAAUGGUUGUUGACUGAAGGGAAUGAGGAACGGGUUUCUAGCAGAGUAAACAGGUAAUGGAGAAGUUCAACCACAAGACUGCUUGUAAACCAGCACUGCCAUUUCACAUUUCUACUGUAUCCAAAUGGAUUGCUUCUUCAUACAACUGAUGCAUGGAUGAUUAUCCAUACAAUGUAGGCAGAUUUUUCUGAAAUAAUUAUACAGAAAGCUGAAGUUGGAGCUGAAUUCACAGAAUUACCACAGGAACAGAGAGGAGACUGCAGGCCUGCCCCAGGCCAUCGGGCCCGCAGGGCUACACUGAGGCGGUAGACAGCACUGCCUGCAUUUCUGCCCAUGAGGUUCCACAUGGAAAAAGUCCAUGGAGGGUGUUGCACGGAAGCCCCAGGAGACCUAUGUAAACUGUCACAAAGUUUACACACAGUUACUGCCAUCUCAUAUCUCCUACUGCUGAGUGCUCUAUUGGAGCUGCAGGAGCAUUUGGUCUGCAGAUCUUGAAGCCUUUUUGGCUGCUUCUUUGCCACCUAAUGGUGCCUGUAGAGCCCUGGUAAGCAAUGCUUUCUCUUUCUGUUCUCUGAAGACCUCUCUGCUUCCUGCCACUUGCAAGGAGUGGAGCAGCUCCUUCAGCUCCACUUUCCCCUAUAAAACCUGGAGGUGGCUCAAUAAGGAAGGAGUCGCACAAAAUGGCUGCAACGUACAUGGCACAUAAUAGGGCUUUAUGUCAGACCUCUAAAUUCAAGAGAGCAAUAACUAUAGCUGCAGAGAAAUACCAGAAGAAUUUCAAGCUCUCUUUCAUGUUUGUUCAGCUCUUACCCACACCAUACCUGCUUCUGUAGGGCUGGCAGAACAGCUUAUUUAUAUGUCUGGUUUCUGAGUGGGGGUUUUCAAAUGAAGACAAAAAAAUUAAGUGCUAAGGCUACUCAGAAUUUGAGUUUUAGGUACUUUUUACAUCCACAUUGCAUGACUCAGAGUACCAAGAGUUUCAUUCUCAGCAGUAUUCCCAGAAGCGUUAAGUGCUGAGAGCCAAGUUUUCAGUGAAUGAAUGGCUCUUUCAUACACACACAUGAUGCAGUAAGUAAGAACCCUGUCGAGGAUGCAGUAAGUAAGAACCCUGUCGAGACCCAGUUAGUGGGGGACCGUACCCCAAGGUCCCCAUACAGACUGUGGAAAAGUAAAAAGACCACUGUAGGAGGCACUUCCCAUUUGGAUAGAUGCUACUGACUGUGUUCUCAGAAUAGCAGCAGCCCCACAUAACAAACAAUCUGAUUUGCUUACAUCUUUUUUGAACCACAGCACUUUGUAUGUUGUUCAAGGCCCUUUCAGAUGUCAGAGAAGAUCUUCAUACAACCUAAAUUUUCUGAGGUAAAUUUUGAUUUAUUUAAAGAGAUCUGACAUUCAGAAAGUCCUGUUGCCCAGUUCCUGACAAUGAAGCCCUGGGAAACUACUGUAUGACGCUUACUCAAACAUUAUUCAGUUUUCAAAAGUUGACUUAAAUUACAUUGCGAGUAAUCUAAGCCCACUGAGGACUAGUCCUCUUCUUCUAACCUCACCCUCUGGUUGGUAUUGAUUCUUGUAACCAAAAUGGCAUUUAUAAUUGUACGGCUAAUUAAAUGGGAUUGGUAGUUUCAUUUAUUGUUUUUAAAUGAGCCCACAAUAAUGCUGCAGUAAGGCUGAGACUAUCUGAAUAUGAUGUGUUUCAUAAACCCUCUGCUCAUUUCAGACAGAGAUUAAGUAAUCCUUACUCUUGAAAUAGGAAAGUGUGUCAUCAGACAAAAAGCUCCGAUGCUUAAGAUCAUACUGAAAUAGUCAUUCUGUUUGUUCAGCUGUACAUAUCAUGAUAAGUCUGAGCUCACUGCCUUUCUGUAUUAUAAAGGCACUCUACUUUAAAUCGCUUAUCUUUUCUAAGCAUAUGCUUAAAUACCCCUGGAUAGAGAGAAAAGAAGAAAGAAGAAAGGAGGAAGGGAAUGAAAGGGAAGGGGAGGGUAGAUGUAAAGGACUUGUUGUUUUUGAUUAAUAGUGAUUAGUGAUGCUAAAACUAAUCAGAAAAGUAGCAAUGGGUUCUAAGCAGGUUUAAAGACAGAAUCUUCCUCCUCUCUAGACCCAUCUGUAUUUGAACGUGACAUCUUCCUCCUUCACAAUUCACAGUGACCAAAAUAAGAAUAUCAAUAGCGUGGGUAGAAAACCAGAAGAUGAAAGCACAAACAAAAAUAUCUGUGGUCAUGUGUACCUGUCUGAAAUAUGCAUUUGAAGAGGAGAGCAAUCCAUGUGCUGAACAGUCACAAAGAUAUCAGUCCUCUUGGGUUAAGGAAUAAGUUCAGCUAGAAAACAGGUUAGCUUCAGUGCAACAUGCAAACUGAAAAUGUUCUAUGCUUAUUAUAAAGCCAAAUUUGAGUAUGCAUUCACGUGGAGGCCAGAGAACAUCCCUUUAUCCAGGCACCCCUCCCCUCCCAACACCUGCAUCCGAAGCAGAGGGAACCUCGAGCUUCUCAGAGACAAGGGUGCCACAGUCACAUUUUUUCUCUAUCACACCCUGUCAAGAACAAUUUCUAGAUGUGUUUUAUAGUGCUUUGUAAAUAUUUGACAUUUUUUUUCCUAUGCUUGCUUACUUUUCUUUAAACUCAUAGGUCAUAUGCAUAAGCAUAUAUGACCAUAAGUAUUGGCACAGCUGUGGUUGUGUAGUGAGAAUGAGUAUGACCACUGCCGGUGGGUGGGACCUACUCAUCACUUCAAGUUAGGUACAUGUUUAAGAGAUUUGUUUGAUAUGGACACCACAUCAAAGCUCCACAGACACCAUAUCAAAGCUCCACAAAGCUCCACAGAGCUCCACAGUAAGUGCUGUGUUGAGCCAGGGCCUAAAUGUAGUUUGCCAUGUGGGGCCUUCUUGGCUUCGCUGAUUACCUACCUGGCAGCCUCGCUCUCUUAGAUGAGAACUCCUUCACUUCAGAACCUGUGUUCAGCAACUUAAAGCCUACUUUCUCAUAGUAAGAAAACAGUGAUUAUACUCUCAUGGUAAAACGUUGAAUUAAUACUCUCUUGAGCCGAGAUUACAAGAUUAGGAGAUCAUCAUAAAAAUCUGAAAACACUGCAUAUUAGGAGUUAUAACACUCAUAUUAGGAGUUACACAAACUACAAAUAAAAAUGUUGUCUGCUGCCUUUUGUAAAAUUCUGCUUACAUUUUCUUUCUUUCCUUUUAAAAUACCGUGUAACUAGAGUUUUAUGUCUUGCCAAGUUUAGCCAGGUGAGAAAACAUGAACCUCUUUUUCUUAACUAAAGGGGAAAUAUGAAACAGUUAUAGUAGCAAAGCAAACUUAUUAGCAUACUUUUUCUGCUUUUUUUCCUUCCAAAAUCUUCUGUGAAUCCAAUUUUUCCAUAAAAUACGGUUGUUCAAAUAAACCGUGGGCUGUGCAGGAGCCACCAAACUCGUGGCUUGCAAAACAAUCCUCAUAUUCCAGCACAACCACUUUAGGUCAUUGAAACUUGACCUGUGGCUGGAAUGUUGCCCGUGCAUUAGGGCUCACUUCCGAAGUCUGGUGCUUGGGAUGUUCAGAUUACUUAUCCUGAAUAAAGAAAGAAAAAUAAAAAGACAAUAUUGCAUUUUUUUUCUUUCUUUUUUUUUUUAACAUGUAACUCAUGAAAACAAUGCUGUAUGUGAUUUAAUUUACCAUCGAGAGAAAUAAUUAGUAGUUAUUCUGUAGUCUUUUUUAAAGUACAUUUGAUUCUUAAUUUUUCUGCUAUUAUAUAAGUACCUUUUGCCUAAAAAGCCUGCAGUCGAUUAGUACUGGGUAGUACUUUGUAAAGCUGUUUAGGCCAGAUUUCCAGGCAGGAAUCCACACAGAUCAAUGUAAAUCCAGCUGAAGUCAACAGAACUACUUUGGACAUAUAUGUGACAUGUAAGUAUUGUGAACUCUCUCCCUUCUCUAGGAUGCCAGAACUCGUUCAGCUCAGCAGUUUAUGUUAGCUGCUGUCCAAUGCUUUGCUGAAAACUGCACCCCCAUGUAAGUGUUUACAGUAUGUAAAAAAAUAUUGGAUAUCUCUCUUCAAUAGCUUCAUGGAGCCGUGAUGAGAUAGUGAGAAAUUGGUAUCCUCUCCUAAACUAGAUAAAGUAAAGAAUUAGUAGCUAUAACGACUUAAAUAAACAACCAAAUUCCACUCGGAUAAAUAUAAUUAUAAACUGAAAACAUUUACUCAGAUGUCUGUAUUCGCUUCUUAAUGACAUUGGUAGAUGUCACGAUACCCACUAGAGGGAGCUCACACAGUCACAUUACCUCCUACAGACUUAGGACAUGUUAUUUAAAAGGUCAUAAAUAGAUUUAGGCACAUUUUUUAACACAUUUGAAUGAAUGGCUGGAUGUAAAUUAGUUUAGCUGGGAACUUAUGCUUUUCUUUCUUUUUUUUUGAAAUUAUUUCACAGUUUGUAUAUUCCUUUUCAAUAGUAAACCAAUCUUACCUAGCACUUAUUGUGUUCAGAGUAAUGUAACAAAUGACUCAGGUUGCAGUUGCAAGUGCUCAGUAGUUUUUCCUAUCACUUUCAAGUCCUACACUCAGAAAAUAUGGAACCCGGCAACAGAACAAGGGGAAAUGGGCACAAAUAUUGCAAGUUCUAUCUGAACAUGAGGAAAAGCUUCUGGACUGAGGGUGACAAAGCACUGGAACAGGCUGCCCAGAGGGGCUGUGAAGUCUCCUUCUCUGAAGAUACCCAAGACCCAUCUGGAUACUUUCCUGUGUGACCUGCUGUAGGGAACUGCUUUAGCAGGGGUUGGACUCGAUGGUCUCCAGAGAUCCCUUCCAACCCCUGUGAUUCUGUGAUUCUCAUUCUCCUCGGCCUGCUGAUAAUUAUAGAAUCAGAGAAUAUCCCAAGCUGGAAGGGACUCGCGAGGAUCACCAAAGUCCAAUUCUGGCUCCAUUCAUGAUCACCCAAAAUCAAACCCAGUGUCUGACAGCAUUGCCCAAAUUCUAUUUCAGCUCUGGCACUCGGGGCCGUGCCCACAGCCCUGGGCAGCCUGUUCCAUGCCCACCACCCUCCGGUGCAGACCCUGUCCCCAACCCCCAGCUGCCCCUCCCCUGACACACUCCAUGCCGUUCCCUCGGGCCCUGUCGCUGUCACACAGAGCAGAGCUCAGCGCUGCCCCUCCGCUCCCUUUGAGGAGCUGCAGCCACCAUCAGGCCUCCCCUCAG